rnacentral:rRNA from 1 species
CCUACGGGUGGCAGCAGUGGGGAAUAUUGCACAAUGGGCGAAACCCUGAUGCAGCGACGCCGCGUGAGUGAAGAAGUAUCUCGGUAUGUAAAGCUCUGUCAGUAGGGAAGAAAAUGACGGUACGUGACCAAGAAGCCCCGGAUAACUACGUGCAAGCAGCCGCGGUAAUACGGAGGGGGCAAGCGUUAUCCGGAUUUACUGGGUGUAAAGGGAGCGUAGACGGCAGGGCAAGUCUGGAGUGAAAGGCGGGGGCUCAACCCCCGAACUGCUCUGGAAACUGUCAGUCUUGAGUGCAGGAGAGGUAAGUGGAAUUCCUGGUGUAGCGGUGAAAUGCGUAGAUAUUAGGAAGAACACCGGUGGCGAAGGCAGCUUACUGGACUGUAACUGACGUUGAGGCUCGAAAGCGUGGGGAGCAAACAGGAUUAGAUACCCUAGUAGUC